ACCUACGGGGCGCAGCAGUAGGGAAUCUUCCACAAUGGGCGAAAGCCUGAUGGAGCAACGCCGCGUGGGUGAAGAGGGUCUUCGGAUCGUAAAACCCUGUUGUUAGAGAAGAAAGUGCGUGAGAGUAACUGUUCACGUUUCGACGGUAUCUAACCAGAAAGCCACGGCUAACUACGUGCCAGCAGCCGCGGUAAUACGUAGGUGGCAAGCGUUAUCCGGAUCUAUUGGGCGUAAAGGGAACGCAGGCGGUCUUUUAAGUCUGAUGUGAAAGCCUUCGGCUUAACCGGAGUAGUGCCUUGGAAACU
rnacentral:rRNA from 1 species